rnacentral:rRNA from 1 species
UACGUAGGGAGCAAGCGUUGUCCGGAAUCAUUGGGCGUAAGCGCACGUAGGCGGCCCCGUAAGUCCGUUGUGAAAGUCAAAGGCUCAACCUUUGAAAGCCGAUGGAUACUGUGGGGCUAGAGUCCGGAAGAGGCGAGUGGAAUUCCUGGUGUAGCGGUGGAAUGCGCAGAUAUCAGGAGGAACACCAAUAGCGAAGGCAGCUCGCUGGGACGGUACUGACGCUAAGGUGCGAAAGCGUGGGGAGCGAACGAG